CCUACGGGUGGCUGCAGUGGGGAAUAUUGCACAAUGGGGGAAAGCCUGAUGCAGCGACGCCGCGUGAGUGAAGAAGUAAUUAGUUAUGUAAAGCUCUAUCAGCAGGGGAGAAAAUGACGGUACCUGAGUAAGAAGCGCCGGCUAACUCCGUGCCAGCAGCCGCGGGAAUACGUAGGGGGCAAGCGUUAUCCGGAUUUACUGGGUGUAAAGGGAGCGUAGACGGCAGUGCAAGUCUGGAGUGAAAGGUGGGGGCUCAACCCCCGGACUGCUCUUGAAACUGUACGGCUGGAGUGCAGGAGAGGUAAGUGGAAUUCCUAGUGUAGCGGUGAAAUGCGUAGAUAUUAGGAGGAACACCAAUGGCGAAGGCGGCUUACUGAACUGUAACUGACGUUGAUGCUCGAAAGCGUGGGGAUCAAACAGGAUUAGAUACCCUUGUAGUC
rnacentral:rRNA from 1 species